rnacentral:rRNA from 1 species
CCUACGGGUGGCAGCAGUGAGGAAUAUUGGUCAAUGGACGAGAGUCUGAACCAGCCAAGUAGCGUGAAGGAUGACUGCCCUAUGGGUUGUAAACUUCUUUUAUAUGGGAAUAAAAUGUUCCACGUGUGGGAUUUUGUAUGUACCAUAUGAAUAAGGAUCGGCUAACUCCGUGCCAGCAGCCGCGGUAAUACGGAGGGUCCGAGCGUUAUCCGGAUUUAUUGGGUUUAAAGGGAGCGUAGGUGGAUUGUUAAGUCAGUUGUGAAAGUUUGCGGCUCAACCGUAAAAGUGCAGUUGAAACUGGCAGUCUUGAGUACAGUAGAGGUGGGCGGAAUUCGUGGUGUAGCGGUGAAAUGCUUAGAUAUCACGAAGAACUCCGAUUGCGAAGGCAGUUCACUGGACUGCAACUGACACUGAGGCUCGAAAGUGUGGGUAUCAAACAGGAUUAGAUACCCCAGUAGUC